rnacentral:rRNA from 1 species
GAUGAACGCUGGCGGCGUGCCUAAUACAUGCAAGUCGAGCGAACGGACGAGAAGCUUGCUUCUCUGAUGUUAGCGGCGGACGGGUGAGUAACACGUGGAUAACCUACCUAUAAGACUGGGAUAACUUCGGGAAACCGGAGCUAAUACCGGAUAAUAUUUUGAACCGCAUGGUUCAAAAGUGAAAGACGGUCUUGCUGUCACUUAUAGAUGGAUCCGCGCUGCAUUAGCUAGUUGGUAAGGUAACGGCUUACCAAGGCAACGAUGCAUAGCCGACCUGAGAGGGGGAUCGGCCACACUGGAACUGAGACACGGUCCAGACUCCUACGGGAGGCAGCAGUAGGGAAUCUUCCGCAAUGGGCGAAAGCCUGACGGAGCAACGCCGCGUGAGUGAUGAAGGUCUUCGGAUCGUAAAACUCUGUUAUUAGGGAAGAACAUAUGUGUAAGUAACUGUGCACAUCUUGACGGUACCUAAUCAGAAAGCCACGGCUAACUACGUGC